rnacentral:lncRNA from 1 species
UUUAUUGAAAUCGUUCUUUACUGCUCUGUCUUGUUUUUUAUUUUUUUUAUUUUAUCAUAAACGGAUUGACUUGUACAAGUAUUUGCAUCAAGAAGACCACUUGCCCGCAUCGGUAUCAUCGCUUCAUCCAAUGUUCAUGAAGCCAUUCUGAAAUUACAUGUUCUUCCAUAUUUCGUUGGGAUUGGAUUACACAAAAGGCGGCACGGACUCACACAAUUAUUCACUCUUCUCAUUGGUCUAGCUAUCUCUCGCUCCCUCUUUCUCUCCCUUCAUCUCUCUUUUCUCCAGCUGAGAGAGAGAGAGAGAGAGAGAGAGAGUUGCCACGAGAAAAGGGCAACCAGUGAAGAACAAACACCAUUGUAAAUACAACCCAUAUUUAUGCUUAUUUAUUUUAUCUUGUGUCCUUUAGCCAUUUGUACAUUGUUAGAACACUGUAUAUAUAUAUAAUAUGACAUUUGUAAUGUCUUUACUGUUUUGAAACUUCUGUAUGUGUAAUGUUUACUGUUAAUUUUAGUUGUUUUUCACUUUAUAUAUUCACUUUGUAUGUUGUCUACCUCACUUGCUUUGGCAAUGUUAACACAUGUUUCCCAUGCCAAUAAAGCCCUUGAAUUGAAUUGAAUUGAGUUGCUUCCUUGUCUUUGGAGCAGUAUAGUGCUUAGUGAAUGAAUGGCUCCCAGGCAGAGGUGAACGUGUGACCAGGCAGGCUGCAGGCACAGAAAAGUCCCCCCAUCCCAGACCCCUGCCUACAGCCUUCAGCCUCACUGGCCAUCACAGAUGGACGGAUGAAACUGUGUCACCGCUAGCCUAAUCACCUCUACGCUCCACUCCGCUCCUCCCCCUCUCACUCUUUCCUCUCUCAUCCCCUCUCAUUCUCAUCCUCUCUGUGUCCCCCUGUCUGUCCUCUUCAUCCUCCCAUCCUCUCGGACAGGUUUUGGAGAGGCUGAAAAUGAACCGUCCCUCUCACAGGCAAUUCAGACAGGAGUGUGUGUGUUAGAGACACACGUACACAUUACACACACACAGCGACAGGGGUCUGUGUGAAUGUGUCGGUUGCCUUCUCUCCAAGUUAAUCCCUUAAGAAGAGGUGUGGUUCUCUCUCUCUCUCUCUCUCUCUCUGAUCCCCAAGCAGAUUUUCAUCUCAUGUUGUGUUAGUUGAAUUCUCCUCCGCUGCUGCUGCUGCCGCUGCGAGUCUCAGGGCGUUCUCUUUUUCGCAUUUUUGAACGCCCAUCAUCAUCAUCUCUCCACUUCUUCUUCUACUGCUCUCUGCCUCUUCUUCUGCUUUCACUAGUCUGAGAUGAGUUUGAACGCUGAGAUGGGGGAGGCCAUCGAGCUAAGGUGAGUGUUUGUGGCUGGG